GCAGCCGACGAACUAGUAUUGCUGCAUGCAAAAUGGCGUGACCCCAAACCAAAGUGGGCAGCCGACGAACUAGCAUUGCUGCAUGUAAAAUGGCGUGAACCCAAACCGAAAUGGGCAGCCUUGUUUUCAUGAAGAAUUCAAGAUUAUUCUCAUCUAUUGUCUCAAUAUGAUAUCCAUUUUGAAUGAUAUCUUAAAACUCAACAAGUUCCUUUUAGACUUGGAGGAGAACAUUCCAUUCUCUAUGAUAAUAUUGUUCCUUUAGGCAGAGUUAUAGUUGCUCUUCUGGAGCCUUCAAUCAAUUUACUAUUACCAGAAGUUGUAGUAACAUCUGCCUUACACAUACUUAAAUGAGAGAAAUAUUUCUUUUAAUAUGCAUUUCCACACACAGUACAGUAGUGAUAAGUAUUGACAAUACUGGUAACAGAAUAAUGGUGUAUAUUUUGGCAAUGCACAUGCUAUAAUAAUGGUUCACAAAGAUAUUGAAAAUAGAACAUCGAUACUAUGAUACUGCAGUGCAUUUGUUUGCAGUAGCAUUCAUUUAAAUUGUGUACAUGUCAGUAAAAGGUCAAUAUUGCAUUUUUGUAUCAUGCGUAGAGUAUAAAGGAUGAAAUCAUUAUGAAACAUUACAAAGCAAUCUUUAAUGUACUCAUGUUUUCUAUAUUACAGUUGUAGCACAUUAUAUACGAUAUACAUGAUGCUGCAGUUGUUACUUUGUGAUAUACAGAAGAGGGCAAAAGUCAUUCUGUGAUACACACAGUGUGUACAAUUAGUUUAUUAGUACACAUAUAUGUGAACCAUACAAAGUGAUUAACUGAGCGCAAUAAAACUCAGUAACUGUGUGAGCAUAGACAAUAUUAGCAAAAUGCAUAUCACAAUAAUAGAUAACUUAUGUAAACUAUGAUAAUUG
rnacentral:lncRNA from 1 species